CGUGGUCAUUGUCAUUCUUAGAGUAAAUGACUUCUAUUCGCUUAUUAUCUUAAUUUACGUUUUUCGUGCUGUAGUUUGCAUUGUUUACACGCGUGUGAUGCGAGCAGUGAGGAUAAUAUUAAUCAAUUAAAUCACCUAGUAAAGUGAAUCUUUGCAAAGGCCUGUAGGUAGUAGUCUGAAAAUUUCCACUUUUAUUAACCUCGAACUUUCUAAAAAUAAUUGAUAGACUUGCGCCUUUACUGAGGUCAAACAAUUCCAGUUAUUAUAAAGUGAGGAAAAGGAACUAACAUUUUGAAUCGGGGUACAAUGUGCUAGUGGUUUAGAUUAGUUCAAUAAACCGUGGAUUCGACACAAGGACACAAACGAAUUGCAAUAUGGGCAAAUGGACGGGAAAAAAAUGCCGAUUACUGUCCAUGCUGAUUCUGACCACGUUCUUCUUCUUCGUGGAGAUUGUGGUGGGAUAUAUUACGAAUUCAAUGGCUUUGGUAGCUGACAGCUUCCACAUGCUCAGCGAUGUAGCUGCUUUAGUUGUCGCAUUCGUCUCAGUGCGGAUGUCGCCAAAGAAAUGGUCGAAAAACACAUUCGGUUGGGCCAGGGCCGAAGUGUUAGGAGCCUUAGUGAAUGCGGUGUUUCUAGUCGCUUUAUGCUUCUCCAUAACGGUAGAAGCAUGCAAGAGGUUUAUCGAAGUAGAAACCAUACACGAUCCACAACUAUUGGUUGUAGUGGGUGGUAUUGGUUUGCUAGUUAAUCUUGUUGGACUUUUGCUGUUUCAUGAACAUGGCGGAGGUCAUGGUCAUUCUCAUGGAGGUUUAUCGCACUCGCGAAACCGCCUCACUCAGCUAGCACUCACAGAUGACAAUGAGAAUGAUGAAAGUUAUCCGUCACCACCACCCUUACCAUCACCUAAAGUAAAAGGAGGUCAUGGGCACUCUCAUGGUGGCGACAACAUGAACAUGCGAGGAGUUUUUCUACAUGUUUUAAGUGAUGCGUUGGGAUCAGUGAUCGUCAUUGUAUCCGCUUUGAUAUUCUGGCUCACUGACUGGAAGUACAAGUACUACAUCGACCCUGCUCUAUCACUAUUGUUAGUGCUUUUGAUCUUGCAUUCAGUCUGGCCUUUGCUUAGAGAUUCCGCGUUGAUUCUGUUGCAAACAGUGCCCACACACAUUCAAGUCGACGCAAUUCAGCAGAGAUUGCUUGAAAAUGUUGAUGGCGUACUUGCGGUUCAUGAAUUUCACGUCUGGCAAUUGGCUGGUGAUCGAAUUAUUGCAUCUGCACAUAUCAGGUGCCGAAAUUUGUCGGAAUACAUGAAAAUAGCAGAAAAGGUCAAAGAGUUCUUCCACAACGAGGGCAUUCAUUCCACAACAAUUCAGCCAGAAUUUAUCGAUUACACGGAUAUUCCUACCACAUCAACAGUUGGAGACCCUGACUCUGCAACGGAAGACUGCGUGUUAGAUUGUCCCAAGUCAUCGAGAGAAUCAGACAAUUGUGUGAGAAACACAUGCUGUGGGCCUUCAAAGGACAGUAGUUGCAGUUUAAUUGAAACCUCAACAGACAUUAAGAACCUCUUUAGGAAACUAAGGCUUGAUAAGCCUGAGGAAAGGGGCGAGAGACUCCCACUCCCAAUAACACUCCCUACAUGUGCCGACAGCGAAACUCCGCUAUCAGCGUCACUACAGGAGUGAGCGAAAUGGAAAAAGGAAACUUGCUGGAGAAAAACCAGGAGACGCAAAUUUUACAAGGUGACUGUGAUUGUAAUGGUUUAAGAGGUUCGCAGUAUUCACUUAGAGGAUAAUGUUCUCAGAUUGAACUGCGACUGUGGAGUAACCAAAUAGGCCAGGAGAGUUAUAGAUUGGCAUGGAUCUAACGUGACGUAACUUGGAUAACUAUUGGAAUCGCUCGGGAAUGGUAUACCUAUUGAAAAUAUCGAUGUGUGCUUUUUGCUUAACCAACGAAAAAGUGAAAAAAUGCGAACAUCCCGUUUUUUUGCCGCAAACAAUCGCAUAUAACUCGGUAAGUAUGCAUUUUAGAGAAAAAAAUGUAUGCUUGUAAAUUGGUUCGUUAUGAAAUUUUCUACAAGAUCGAGGAGUUGGUCCGAUAUCCGUAGAUUUGAAACGUUUCCUGCAAAAUGCUCGAAAGCGCAAGAAAGUAGGCAAAAAACAAAUGCAUACGUUUCCGGGAAAACCGAUUUUCGCAUUUUUUCCUCAUUUUUGCAAAUAGCUUACCUGAAUAUUUUCAAUUGGUAUACCAUUCCCGAGCGAUUCAAAGUUAUCUAAGUUACGUCACGUUAGAGCCAUAUUUGAGAUUUCGUCGUAAUUCUCCUGGCCUAAAAGCAAGUGAUUUAGAGUUCAGGGAUCCAAAAUAGUCCAGUCAAUAUAGUCUUUAGGUAAUGCUCGUAAAUGUGAUCUCGGCCGUUUAACUCGGAGUACUUAAAUGGAAGGAAUCUUUGAGACAAAUAAUUCGGUAAUUUUGGUCACUUGAGGAACUCCGCGUUUCAGUUCAUUCAAGCGGCGUUCAUGUGUUCAUAUUAAUUUAACGUGAGGUUUAUUAUUCAUCCCAAAGGUUUCUUUUGUAAGUGUGCGUUAUGGAAAUCCAAUUUUCCGGGACAUUCAAGGGUAAAGACGAGACUUAAAGUUGCUUAACGUCGUUCAGUAUCUUGUAAGUUAAAAUUAUCUAGGUAUUUAAUUAAAUUGUACUUUAUAGUUUUAAACGAGAUUGUUGCAUGAACAUUCAUGCUUCAACAUCUGUUACUAUUAAAAAGUAGGCCAGUUUCAUCCAAUGGAAUAAUUGCACACUAACACCCAAUCACAUCACGGUCACAAUAUUUGCAUUUGCAGUAGAAUUAGAGUCGGUACUUUAUUAAGGGUUAUAACUGUUGAUAUUUUGCUAAUAUUCUUUUCAAAACUAAGAGUAUUUCAGUAGGUGCAAUGUUACUGUUUCUGCAGUUAAAUCAGAAUAACUAUUUUGUUUUCAACUAAUUUACUAGCACUGUUACUUUGUAUGUGCAUGUAAAUGCAAUAUUGUCGCAUCAAUCGUGACAGUUUUUCCUACAUCGGAAACUAGUAUUGUACAAUUUUUGUGUUCCAUACAGAGUCGUUUUUAUUCAUGAAAAUCCUGGAUUAUCUUGCAAUACAUUAGUUUAAGGUCUCUUGCUCCAGUCUAUGGCAGUCAAUAUUCGUUUAAUGCAACAUUAUACUUAAUUAUUCUAAAGGUCUGAAAAUUAAUGUUAGAAUAAGUUGCUAAAAGUUAGAUCGAUGAGAGGCCUAAAAUCAGAAUUAUUAUUGAACUUUGUUUUAACAACGGAUUUUCCAGAGAAACGUAGUCUGAUUGUUUGUAUUUGCCAUGUAUAAAACAGAUUCUGCAUAACGCAGAAAUCAAAGUAAAUAUUUUUCUGCAAAAAACCACUUCUGUCACGUCCUGUAUGUGGAAUUUCUGUUAUUUCCAAAGUGUUGCUGUGCAUCAGCACAACGCACAUAAAUCGCACCGUAUCUACGCACCAGUAAUAUCAUUGAUUCGUUUGUGUGAAGAGUGUGGAACUUGCUUGAGAACCAUGUACAUAUUUCAUAUAAGUUAAAUAUUUUGUAUAUGUUUUCAUAUAGCGUCAGUAUAAUUUAUAUGAAUAAUUGGUUUAAAUGUUAAUAAAACUGAGGCUAUUAAAUGAC